rnacentral:rRNA from 1 species
GACGAACGCUGGCGGCGUGCUUAACACAUGCAAGUCGAACGGUGAAGCAGAGCUUGCUCUGUGGAUCAGUGGCGAACGGGUGAGUAACACGUGAGUAACCUGCCCUUGACUCUGGGAUAAGCGUUGGAAACGACGUCCAAUACCGGAUACGAGCUGAGACCGCAUGGUCAUCAGUUGGAAAGAUUUUUUGGUCAAGGAUGGACUCGCGGCCUAUCAGCUUGUUGGUGAGGUAAUGGCUCACCAAGGCGACGACGGGUAGCCGGCCUGAGAGGGUGACCGGCCACACUGGGACUGAGACACGGCCCAGACUCCUACGGGAGGCAGCAGUGGGGAAUAUUGCACAAUGGGCGCAAGCCUGAUGCAGCAACGCCGCGUGAGGGAUGACGGCCUUCGGGUUGUAAACCUCUUUUAGUAGGGAAGAAGCGAAAGUGACGGUACCUGCAGAAAAAGCACCGGCUAACUACGUG